UACGUAGGAUGCGAGCGUUAUCCGGAUUUAUUGGGUUUAAAGGGUGCGUAGGCGGGAUGCCGAGUCAGCGGUAAAAAUGCGGUGCUCAACGCCGUCGAGCCGUUGAAACUGGCGUUCUUGAGUGGGCGAGAGGUAUGCGGAAUGCGUGGUGUAGCGGUGAAAUGCAUAGAUAUCACGCAGAACUCCGAUUGCGAAGGCGGCAUACCGGCGCCCUACUGACGCUGAGGCACGAAAGCGUGGGUAUCGAACAGG
rnacentral:rRNA from 1 species